rnacentral:lncRNA from 1 species
GCUGCUGCUGCUGCGGCGGCGGCGGAGGAGGAGGAGGAGGAGGUGGGGGAGAGGGAAUCGCAUCCGCGAGGGGAAGGUGGCGAGGUGGAUGCGACGAGACGGCAAGGGAAGAGAGGGGAAAGCGAUGUGAGGAGAGAGAGAGAGACAGCAAGCACACACACUGAUGAGUGAUGCAGCUGCGCUACUUUUUUUUUAAUCUUU